UUCACACACUUCCUAUUUUAAUGCUAUUUGAAAAUGUUUCUUUUUUCAAAAUUAGACCUAAAACUAAUCUUUUCCCUCAAAUUGUUAUUUCUUUAUUAUUCAGAUACAAAUGCCAAAUUUUAUAAUACAAAGAUACUUUUAGCAUUUUCUUACUAAUUAAGAGUUAAUAUGAUGGGGAAAAGCAAAAAAAUUACUUUGUAUUAUAAAUCUAUUGGAAAAAAAAGUUAAAACACAAGAAAAAUGCACAUUCUGAUUUAGGUGUCGUCUUUGCUUUAUGUGGCAAGAUUUUUGUUUCAGUGGGGGUUACAGGUGUAGCAAGACACUAAAAUCUACCUUCAUGUUGGGCAGAGCUGGUUCCAGCUGUCUUGAGGAUGGACCCACUGUGGCCUAAGCUGAGUCCAACAUUAUUAGCACCUCUGUGAAUGUAUAUGUAUAUGUAUAUGUAUAUGUAUAUGUGUAUGUGUAUGUGUAUGUGUAUGCGUAUGUGUAUGUGUAUGUGUAUGUAUAUGUAUAUAAGAAAGGGUAAAAAGCACUGCACAACAGCAGCUGGGAGAUGCAAGUGAGAAUUUGUGAUAUAAACAACCCUACAGACACCAGGGUCAGAGAAGAUGGAAGGGUAGGAGUUGCUCCAGGUGUCAGAUCAGAGGUUCCUCUGCAGCCAUGUUAGGGAGAAAAGACCAUGAUGAUGCAGGGUUCUCCCUGCCCAUGGAAGUCUGCAGUGGAGCAGGUAUCUAUGCUGCUGCCCAUGGAGGACCCCACACCAGAACAGGCUGUUCCUGAAGGAUUGUACUCUUGGAAAGGACUCAUGCUGGAGCGGAAGGAUGGGAUUAUUUGUUAUAAAUUACUAGCCUAUUAUAUAUUUGAAUAUCCUGUAUAGUUUUGUGAUUUUAGAACUAAAAUAUAGUAUUAGGUUGAAUAAUAACUUUUAGCUAGCCUGUGCCUGGAUAUUUAUGUCUACAUAACAAGGCUGCAGUUAGAAAUAAUAGGAAAGAAUGUGACUAUAUUUAAUUAAGCCAGAAUACAAGGACUAGCCCAAUGAUAAGAGGCAGAAGAACCAGCUAGGACCAGAUGCAACCUUGAAGAUGUGCCCAAGCUGUCUAAGAGCAUGCACAAGAAGGAGACUUGAAAAGUUCACCAUGAAGAAGACUGUGAGCCUUCCUCCAGAAGCCUCCAGCCCAAGACCACCAGAAGAGAAAUGAAAAAAAAUAAGCUGAUUAUUUAAGAAGGUUGAUUUCCUACAGUAUCUAAGAGGGGUUACAGGAAGGAUCUGGGGAACUACAGGCCUGUCAGUCUGACCUCAGUGCCGGGGAAAGUAAUGGAACAGG